rnacentral:rRNA from 1 species
UACGUAGGGGGCGAGCGUUGUCCGGAUUUAUUGGGCGUAAAGAGCUCGUAGGCGGUUCGGCAAGUCGGAUGUGAAAUCUCCAGGCUCAACCUGGAGGGGUCAUUCGAUACUGCCGUGACUAGAGGUCGGUAGGGGAGUGUGGAAUUCCUGGUGGAGCGGUGAAAUGCGCAGAUAUCAGGAGGAACACCCGUAGCGAAGGCGGCACUCUGGGCCGAUACUGACACUGAGGAGCGAAAGCGUGGGGAGCGAACAGG